GACAGAGGUCCCAAGCGUUAGGCGGAAUCACUGGGCUCAAAGCGUGUGUAGGCGGAUUUGUAAGUACCUUGUGAAAUCCCACGGCUCAACCGUGGAACUGCUUGGUAUACUGCUUAUCUUGGGCCAUCUAGGGGCGAGCGGAACAAACGGUGGAGCGGUGAAAUGCGUAGAUAUCGUUUGGAACGCCAAUGGUGAAAACAGCUCGCUGGGGAUGUGCCGACGCUGAGAUACGAAAGCCAGGGGAGCGAACGGG
rnacentral:rRNA from 1 species